rnacentral:rRNA from 1 species
CAAUAGCGUAUAUUAAAGUUGUUGCAGUUAAAAAGCUCGUAGUUGGAUUUCUGGUUGAAGCGACCGGUCGGGCGUUGAUUCGUCUGCACUGGAGUCGGUUUUGGCCAUCCUCUAGGAAAGUGCGUCUGGUAUUAAGUUAUCGGGCGUAUGAUCCUGGUCUUUUACUGUGAAAAAAUUAGAGUGUUUAAAGCAGGCCUUCGCCUUGAAUACAUUAGCAUGGAAUAAUAAGAUAGGACUUUGGUCUAUUUUGUUGGUUUGCAGACCGAAGUAAUGAUUAAUAGGGAUAGUUGGGGGUAUUUAUAUUCCGAUGUCAGAGGUGAAAUUCUUAGAUUUUCGGAAGAUAAACGUAUGCGAAAGCAUUUACCAAGGAUGUUUUCAUUAA